CCUACGGGGAGGCAGCAGUGGGGAAUAUUGCACAAUGGGGGAAACCCUGAUGCAGCCAUGCCGCGUGUGUGAAGAAGGCCUUACGGGUUGUAAAGCACUUUCAGUAGGGAGGAAGGUAGUGUAGUUAACACCUGCAUUAUUUGACGUUACCUACAGAAGAAGCACCGGCUAACUCCGUGCCAGCAGCCGCGGUAAUACGGAGGGGUGCGAGCGUUAAUCGGAAUUACUGGGCGUAAAGCGCAUGCAGGCGGCUUGUUAAGUCAGAUGUGAAAGCCCGGGGCUUAACCUCGGAAUUGCAUUUGAAACUGGCAGGCUAGAGUCUUGUAGAGGGGGGUAGGAAUUUCAGGUGUAGCGGUGAAAUAGCGUAGAGAUCUGAAGGAAUACCAGUGGCGAAGGCGGCCCCCUCGGACAAAGACUGACGCUCAGAUGCGAAAGCGUGGGGAGCAAACAGGAUUAGAUACCCUGGUAG
rnacentral:rRNA from 1 species